rnacentral:RNase_P_RNA from 2 species
GGAGAAGAUCGGUCUGUCGCAUUUGCCCUAGAGGCAGGUGAGGAACGUCCGAGCAACGCAGAGCUCCAUACUUCCUAACGGGAAGCCGUCCGUGAGGGCAGAGUAGUGUAACAGAAAAGAACCGCCACAGAGGAGUCAAUCCCUCGGGAGCGACCUCUGUCGGUAAGGGUGAAAAGGUGAGGUAAGAGCUCACCGCCAGCCCUGGCAACAGGCUGGGCCGUACACCUUAUGGGUUGCAAGAUCAUGUAAACCGACGUUAUGAGGGUUGCUCGCCCCAUGUCGGAGGGUAGAUCGCUAGAGCCAGGUGGAGACAUCUGGCCCAGAUAAAUGACAGACGCCUCGAGGCCUCGGCCUUGGGGUACAGAACUCGGCUUAUAGAUCCUCUCCCCCC